rnacentral:rRNA from 1 species
GACGAACGCUGGCGGCGUGCCUAAUACAUGCAAGUAGAACGCUGAAGAGAGGAGCUUGCUCUUCUUGGAUGAGUUGCGAACGGGUGAGUAACGCGUAGGUAACCUGCCUGGUAGCGGGGGAUAACUAUUGGAAACGAUAGCUAAUACCGCAUAAAAUUGAUUAUUGCAUGAUAAUUAAUUGAAAGAUGCAAUUGCAUCACUACCAGAUGGACCUGCGUUGUAUUAGCUAGUUGGUGAGGUAACGGCUCACCAAGGCGACGAUACAUAGCCGACCUGAGAGGGUGAUCGGCCACACUGGGACUGAGACACGGCCCAGACUCCUACGGGAGGCAGCAGUAGGGAAUCUUCGGCAAUGGGGGGAACCCUGACCGAGCAACGCCGCGUGAGUGAAGAAGGUUUUCGGAUCGUAAAGCUCUGUUGUAAGAGAAGAACGGGUGUGAGAGUGGAAAGUUCACACUGUGACGGUAUCUUACCAGAAAGGGACGGCUAACUACGUGCCAGCAGCCGCGGUAAUACGUAGGUCCCGAGCGUUGUCCGGAUUUAUUGGGCGUAAAGCGAGCGCAGGCGGUUAGAUAAGUCUGAAGUUAAGGCUGUGGCUUAACCAUAGUAUGCUUUGGAAACUGUUUAACUUGAGUGCAGAAGGGGAGAGUGGAAUUCCAUGUGUAGCGGUGAAAUGCGUAGAUAUAUGGAGGAACACCGGUGGCGAAAGCGGCUCUCUGGUCUGUAACUGACGCUGAGGCUCGAAAGCGUGGGGAGCAAGCAGGAUUAGAUACCCUGGUAGUCCACGCCGUAAACGAUGAGUGCUAGGUGUUAGGCCCUUUCCGGGGCUUAGUGCCGCAGCUAACGCAUUAAGCACUCCGCCUGGGGAGUACGACCGCAAGGUUGAAACUCAAAGGAAUUGACGGGGGCCCGCACAAGCGGUGGAGCAUGUGGUUUAAUUCGAAGCAACGCGAAGAACCUUACCAAGUCCUGACAUACUGUGAGGACACAAGAGAUUGUGUUGUUCUGACCUUUGGUUAGACACAGAUACAGGUGGUGCAUGGUUGUCGCCAGCUCGUGUCGUGAGAUGUUGGGUUAAGUCCCGCAACGAGCGCAACCCUUAUAUCUAGUUGCCAGCAGCAAGAUGGGGACUCUAGAUAGACUGCCAGUGAUAAACUGGAGGAAGGUGGGGAUGACGUCAAAUCAUCAUGCCCCUUAUGACUUGGGCUACACACGUGCUACAAUGGAUAGGAACAAAGAGAAGCGAGCUCGCGAGAGUAAGCAAACCUCACAAAACUAUUCUCAGUUCGGAUUGUAGUCUGCAACUCGACUACAUGAAGCUGGAAUCGCUAGUAAUCGCGAAUCAGAGUGUCGCGGUGAAUACGUUCCCGGGUCU